CACGUAGGGCGCGAGCGUUUGUCCGGAAUCAUUGGGCGUAAAGCGCACGUAGGCGGCUUGUUAAGUCGGAUGUGAAAGCCCCAGGCUCAACCUGGGAAGUGCAUUCGAAACUGGCGAGCUUGAAUGUCGGAGAGGGCAGUGGAAUUCCGAGUGUAGAGGUGAAAUUCGUAGAUAUUCGGAGGAACACCAGUGGCGAAGGCGACUGCCUGGACGAACAUUGACGCUGAGGUGCGAAAGCGUGGGGAGCAAACAGG
rnacentral:rRNA from 1 species